ACCACUUUUUCAAAGUGCUCUGACAAAGUUAAAACAUGUGAAGCUGGCAGCUCCCACUACCGUGCUAUAACCAAGCAGGGUAAAGGAAUAGCAUUAUUACUUGAUGUUAGGGAGACUCCUAUAUAUGUCGACUUCCAUCCCUAACAGACAGGCAGACCUGCAAAAAUGCUCAACCCUUUCUCUUAUCUGAGAGGGCACUCCCAACAAAGCCUUUCGAAAUAUUCAGCUUUCUUUCCCCCCGAUAAUACCUCUGUAAACAAGCUAUACUAGAGCAAGAAUAUCUCAUAUCAUCAGGGUUAAAAGCAAGAGUAUCCCAUAUCAUGAUUUUUCCCUGUCUUUUCCUUUGGCCUUGUUCAUACCUGCAAGACAAGGAGAAAGAGAGCAAUCAGUCAGCACUUGGAAUCAAGCUUCCAGCCAGGAACUGACUG
rnacentral:lncRNA from 1 species